UAACUGAGGAGUGAAGAGGAGGUGCGGUCUAACCCUGCGGAACCCCUCCCUUCCUGCCCCCUCACUUCCCGGGACCGGCUGUGGAGGCGGCAACGGAGGACGGACGCGGGUGUGGAAGAGAGAGAGAGAGAGAGAGAGAGAGAGAGGUGUAUUUUCUCCUCCGCUAAGUCCAUGAUGACCGUAAUUUUGGACAAGUCAGCGAGUGUUCUGUGGAGAUUAUUCCACCCUUGAAACCUCCUCCACUUAGGACCCACGGUGGAUUAAGUGCAGGGACGCGAUGGAACACAAAGGAAGAGCAGCGGAAGACCCAGCACCAGCUCUUCUAUAUUUGUUGGGAGUGUUUGUGUUACGCUGAUAUGAAACCUACAGUAAGGAAUGUAAGAGAGAGUGAAGCUUAAGUACAGGCAAAGAGGAAAGGAAGGGAAGACCAAAGGAACAUAAAGGAAGAGCAACGGGACACCCAACAUCAGUAGCUUUUCUAUAUAUUUUAAGUUAUAAGUUCUUGUAUCUAACCUAAAUAAUGUAUACGAGUGAAGCUGAAAUAGAAACACAAAAAACAAAAGAAUACAAACGACGACAUACACCAGCAGCUCUUCUGUAUUACUUGGGCCUGUUAUAAGCUAAAUGAUGCACAGAUGAGUGAAGCUGAGACACAAAGGAAUACAAAGGAAGACUCAGCAGCUACAGCCCUUCUGUUUUAUGUACGGGAUGUUUGCGAUAAGCUAUGGUAUAUGAUCUAAAGGAUGUACAGGAGAGUGAAGCUUUGUGGAGAGAAAAUAUGAUUGACUGAUUGAGCAGAGACAAAAUAUAAUUCCUGACUGACUUAGCAGAAAAAAAAAAACUGACUUGGUAGAGAUAAAAAAAAUACAGACUUGGUAAAGACUAAAAAUACAGACUUGGUAGACAAAAAUACUGACUUGGUAGACAAAAAAAUACUGACUUGAUAGACAAUAAUACUGACUUGGUAGACAAAAAAAUAAUGACUUGGUAGACAAAAAAAAUACUGACUUGGUAGACAAAAAAAUACUGACUUGAUAGACAAAAAAAUACUGACUUAAAUGAAAAAAAAAAUUACUAACUUCAUAGAAAAAAAUACCGGCUGAUUUAGCAGACAAAAAAAACUUACUGACUGACUUAAAAGAGACAAAUUACUCACUAAAUGAAUGAGGAAAAGUAUCUGGCCGACAGACUAACGAGUAGUAAAGAAAAAAAAUAGUCUGAAUUAACAAAGACAAUAAAAUGACUGCCUGAAAACAAAAGACUGACUGACUUAGUUGAGACGCAGAAAUGGUUGAUAGACUCAUUGAUUAACUGCUCUUAACUCUCUCUCUCUCUCUCUCUCUCUCUCUCUCUCUCUCUCUCUCUCUCUCUCUCUCUCUCUCUCUCUCUCUCUCUCAGUAAAUCGUCCGGACAAACUUCACGUGAGCCAAUUUGCGACAAUACCACCACACUCUUUGAGGCACAAGGCUGGCUUCCUGAUUUUCCUGCUGGCUUUGGACACACACACACACACACACACACACACACACACACACACACACACACACACACACACACACACACACACACACACACACACACACACAUUUUACAAGGAAUUGCUAUUUGUGAGAAACUUUUCAGAGAGAGAGAGAGAGAGAGAGAGAGAGAGAGAGAGAGAGAGAGAGAGAGAGAGAGAGAGAGAGAGAGAGUCGGCCUUAAACAGACACCACUCCCACAUACGCACAUACCGAUUGAGAGACAGGAACACAGACAGACAGACAGACAGACAGACAGACAGACAGACAGACAGACAGACAGACAGACAGACAGACAGACAAAGUGAUAGACAGAUAGACAAACGGACAGACAGACAGACAAAGAGAUAGACAGAUAGACAAACGGACAGACAGACAGACAGACGGACAGACGGAGAAAAUUGAGUAAACGACAAAAAAGGAAGAGGAGAAAGUUUUCAAAUUGUCCCUGAGAGAGAGAGAGAGAGAGAGAGAGAGAGAGAGAGAGAGAGAGAGAGAGAGAGAGAGAGAGAGAGAGAGAGAGAGAGAGAAAG